AAUGGGUCAGCGACUUAUAUUCUGUAGCAAGGUUAACCGAAUAGGGGAGCCGAAGGGAAACCGAGUCUUAACUGGGCGUUAAGUUGCAGGGUAUAGACCCGAAACCCGGUGAUCUAGCCAUGGGCAGGUUGAAGGUUGGGUAACACUAACUGGAGGACCGAACCGACUAAUGUUGAAAAAUUAGCGGAUGACUUGUGGCUGGGGGUGAAAGGCCAAUCAAACCGGGAGAUAGCUGGUUCUCCCCGAAAGCUAUUUAGGUAGCGCCUCGUGAAUUCAUCUCCGGGGGUAGAGCACUGUUUCGGCAAGGGGGUCAUCCCGACUUACCAACCCGAUGCAAACUGCGAAUACCGGAGAAUGUUAUCACGGGAGACACACGGCGGGUGCUAACGUCCGUCGUGAAGAGGGAAACAACCCAGACCGCCAGCUAAGGUCCCAAAGUCAUGGUUAAGUGGGAAACGAUGUGGGAAGGCCCAGACAGCCAGGAUGUUGGCUUAGAAGCAGCCAUCAUUUAAAGAAAGCGUAAUAGCUCACUGGUCGAGUCGGCCUGCGCGGAAGAUGUAACGGGGCUAAACCAUGCACCGAAGCUGCGGCAGCGACACUAUGUGUUGUUGGGUAGGGGAGCGUUCUGUAAGCCUG
rnacentral:rRNA from 1 species